UAUAAUACAGUACAACCGAGCCCGGAAGCCGUGAACGCGUGGCCACGGAAGACUUGUCCGUGAGUGUUUACCGUUGCUUCCUUUACAGGCAAAUACUGGAGACAACCCGAGUGCCCGUGAGUUGGUGAACAGAUCGCCAGACUGGAGGGUGUUGCUCAGCACUACAAAGGGAUGAACUGCUAGUAGGACAGCAGAGAGAAAUCCAAGAACAUUCGUAGGGAGAGAGAAGCCAGACACUGAAGAGCGUAUCCGUAGGAUUCCGUUCAUGGCACGUGGGGAACCAGCCUAAUCCACAGUGGCAGAGAGCACAGCAGUGGUCUUGUCUGCAUGCGGGGACCAGAGAGGUGAUGCACCCAGAUGACGGCAGUUCGGUGGCCUAUUGCUCUCGGGCGGCUUACGGGACAAGGAGCUGAGGGUCGCCGUCGGUCGUGAGGAAUGGGAUCCUACCAAAACCACAAGAGCAAGCUUGGAAGUGGAACCUUCCCCGCUUGAGCCUGAGACGGUCGUCGCCCUCCCUGCAUUAGGGAGAGAACCUGGGCCACUGAGGGAACUCAGCUAAGGGACGCCC
rnacentral:lncRNA from 12 species